AAUUUCAGCAAAUAAGCUCAAAGGAUUAAUAAAACUGCAUCUGUCCAACAUAACAGGCACACAUUAGUUAUAAAGUGGCCUCCAACAUAACCCUUAACAGUCCAACAUCAGUUCAACCAUCACAGCAUAGUUCAGAGUUUAAAUAGUUCGGUACAGCCAAUAGACUUAAAGUAUUACACAUAGAAACAACAGCUCCAAAAGACAACUAUCAAAGCAUGACAUUGAAACAGCAGCUCCAAGCUUGCCUACAUCCAAAAGCUUCUUGAUAUCCUUGGUUAUUCUUCAAGUGUCAUUUCUGGUUUAGAGAAAACAGAGGAAGGGUCAGGAUGGAGGUAGUUCUGCAUCAGAAUUAUUUUCUGCCACUUUGUGCAUUAAAAAUAAAAUGGACUAACAGGACAAGUGGCUAGUAGAACAAUAGUCAAAUUUAUGCAUGCUCAUGAAUCAAAUAACAAAUCUACUACAGCAAUAUAGUUUUUUAUUCACCAAAAAGCUUCAGGAGCAAAGGUUAAAUGCCUCCAUAUACUAGAAUGAUGAAUUCUAGUUUACGGUUUUUACUCCAGCACAACAAAACUCUAAGGAUACAAAGAAAGCAACAUAGACACAAACAGCCCACUGUUGGCUUGGACUAGCCAUUUGUCAAUUGUCAUACAAAAGGAAAAUCCACGAUGAAAAAUGUGAAUCAAAAUUCAUGCAUAAGCUCAAACAUAUUGCAGGACAAAUACAGUGGUUAAUAUACCUAUAAAACAGCAGCUCCAAGCUUGCAUACAUCCAAAAGCUUCUUGAUAUCCUUAGUUCUUCAUGUGGCAUUUCUAGUUCAUAUAGAGAAAACAAAGAAAGGAUCAGGAUAGAUGUAGUUCAACAUCAGAAUUUUCUUCUUCCACUUUGUGCAUAAUGAAACAAAAUGGACUAACAGGGAGGUGUCUAGUGCAACAAUAGUCAAGUGGUAACAUUUCAGGACAACAUAAAUACAUUGCUUAACAUGACAACGAAGGCUAGGCAUGGAUAGAAAGUUUAUACAUCUAAGAAACUAGCAGCUCCAAGUAACUAAAAUUUUCUAAGCAAUUAUCAUGAAUCAUAAAACACUAGAAAGAAGAUACUUGCCAGCAGAUUUCUAAGCAGCGGGUAUAGGCUGUUGACGCCCUUGGUCUUCUUCUUGACAAGCCGUACAGAUCUACGGGUCUCCAAAUUGCCGUCUGUUGGUGGUGCGUCCUUUUCCACUUGAAUUUGUGUCUCUUUUUCCACUUGCAUUUGCGCCUCUUGCUGAUCAUGCAUGGAUGGAGCAUCUUCCCCAUCCUCACUCACCCCAUCAUUAUCCUCACUCUCACUAUCAACAAAUACUUUCUCUUCAAAAUCAAUGACAAAAGAACAACGGUCAGUUAUGAAGAGUAGGUCACUAGGGAAGCAACCCUUGCUUACUUGGGUGUCCUCAUAUGAAUGAUAAACAAAACCAGUACAGCUUAAUGCUCUAGUUUAGAUACUAAGGAAUAAGUAAUUUAAAUACAAUCCGAUGCUCUAGUUUGCCAAAAAGACAAGUCAAAAACUAUAAUCUAUUCUUGAGAAAGAUACUGCGAAGCUUAGUUCUAGAACCAUCACUUAAUGGUACCGCUGAACAUUGAAAUUAACCAUCGGUCAACAUCUACUUAGUUAAAUACACAACAUAACUGAAUUUUUAUUGGACGUACUGUAGAUCUAAAUAAAUUAUCAAUACAAACAUGAGAUGCUUCUGCAAACAUCCAAGCCAGUGGUUGGAGGUGAUGAAAAAAACUUUAAUAUUGCACACAAGCAUCAUCUCAACAGCUCAAAAACAAGCACACAACCCAGAUCUACGGAACGAUUAUAUAUUUUAGGAUGUUCAGAAUAACGUUUGUAACCCACUUUUUGGUUGGACCAAAAUAAAUAUUACCAGAUCGUGAGCAUCCUUAGUGAAUACCAGAUGCAUGUGUGUUUCAGAUUCAGAUUAUAUACCAAACCAAAACAUUGUGAGACUCCUUGGUGACUACCGGAUGCAUGUAUAUUUCAGAUUAAUAAUCUCACUGCUGUACGUUCAACUCAUCAAGACUCACUUUUUCUUAACCCCGUAUGAUAUAUGCAUUUGCCGAGCCAUUUACCAGGGACCUCUCCUAAAUCUAAAGCAGCACAAGCAGACACAGAUUAUAACCAAGAAACAAAGCAACAUCGAUCUGAAAUUGCUCAAGAACUGAAACUGCAUACACGUACUUGGACGAGACAAAUUGCUGAAGACUGAAACUGCAUACACGUACUGAAACUGCAUCAAGAACAUUUGUACCUUUCCAGUCAAGCGGACGCCCUCCAUGCUGCUGCCGCUGCCCCGUGCUACCGCCUCCAUUGAACUGGUCGGCUCGCGCUCCAUCAGCUCCGUUGCCGCAGCCGCCGAGCACCACGCUGCAGUCUUGGAGAAGGGCCGCAACCGCCGAGCUCCGUUGCCACAGUCUUGGACAGGAAGUGGAUGGGGUGGAGGCGAGGAGAUGUGGAGGAG
rnacentral:lncRNA from 1 species